rnacentral:misc_RNA from 1 species
AAUUAAAGUUGAGUGAUUUUAUUGUAAUAAAUAGAAGUUGAAGAACAAAAAUGAAACAACCAUUAAUGUUGAGGGACGGUGAGUGAAAACUACCCAUCAAAAUUAUGUUACUUACAAUUCAAAAGCCAAAUCGCAAAUAAUAAAGUAAUACCUUUCUGAGUCAACUAUAUUUAGUGACACAAUGAUCUAAAUUGUGUAAGCUCUAAGUUAUACUAUUUUCAACCAUAAUUACACAUAAGCAAGUUAGAA